rnacentral:rRNA from 1 species
AGAGUUUGAUCCUGGCUCAGAUUGAACGCUGGCGGAAUGCUUUACACAUGCAAGUCGAACGGCAGCACGGGAGCUUGCUCCUGGUGGCGAGUGGCGAACGGGUGAGUAACAUAUCGGAACAUAUCCUAUCGUGGGGGAUAACUAGUCGAAAGACUAGCUAAUACCGCAUACGUCCUGAGGGAGAAAGCGGGGGCUCGCAAGACCUCGCGCGAUUGGAGUGGCCGAUAUCUGAUUAGCUAGAUGGUGAGGUAAAAGCUCACCAUGGCGACGAUCAGUAGCUGGUCUGAGAGGAUGAUCAGCCACACUGGGACUGAGACACGGCCCUGACUCCUACGGGAGGCAGCAGUGGGGAAUUUUGGACAAUGGGCGAAAGCCUGAUCCAGCCAUUCCGCGUGAGUGAAGAAGGCCUUCGGG